GUACACGCUGUGACUAGCAUAUCAAUAAGCGGAGGAAAAGACUGCGGAACUGAACGACCGCUACCUACGCUUAGGAUGUUGACAGCAGUAUAGACUGUACACGCUGUGACUAGCAUAUCAAUAAGCGGAGGAAAAGAAACUAACAAGGAUUCCCCUAGUAACGGCGAGUGAAGCGGGAAGAGCUCAAAUUUGAAAUCUUAAAGGGUUUCCCUUUACGAAUUGUAGUUUAAAGAAGUGUUUUCUGUUGAGGUUUUGGUAAAAGUUCUUUGGAAUAGGACAUCAUAGAGGGAUGAGAAUCCCGUAUUUGACCUUUACUUUCAACUUUGUGAUACACUUUCAAAGAGUCGGAUUGUUUGGGAAUGCAGUCCAAAAUGGGUGGUAAAUUUCAUCUAAAGCUAAAUAUUGGCGAGAGACCGAUAGCGAACAAGUACCGUGAGGGAAGGAUGAAAAGAACUUUGAAAAGAGAGUUAAACAGUACGUGAAAUUGUCAAAAGGGAAGCGUUUGACACCAGUGUUGUUUUUCUGAAAAUCAAUUAAAGAACUGUUUAUGCUAAGUUGUUUAGACUUUAUCAGCUAACUGUUUAGUUUUGAGCUUUUCUUUAAUGCACUUUUCAGUUAACAAGUCAACAUCAAUUUCUUUUGCUGUAAAAAAGCUUGAGGAAGGUGGCUUGAGAUUCGUCUUAAGUGUUUAUAGCCUCUUGCCUAUGCAGUCGGAGAGAUUGAGGUCUGCAGCGUAGAUCCUUCGGGGCUAAAUGCAUUUGUGCUAAGUUAUAGCAUUUUAUAGACAACUUGUUGACUAUGAUUUGUCUUGUAGCUUACUCGCUUAUGUUAUUUUACCUACGCUUAGGAUGUUGACAGCAGUAUAGACUGU
rnacentral:rRNA from 1 species